rnacentral:rRNA from 1 species
CCUACGGGGGGCAGCAGUGAGGAAUAUUGGUCAAUGGCCGAGAGGCUGAACCAGCCAAGUCGCGUGAGGGAAGACGGCCCUACGGGUUGUAAACCUCUUUUGUCGGGGAGCAAAGAGAGUCACGUGUGACUCAUUUAGAGUACCCGAAGAAAAAGCAACGGCAAACUCCGUGCCAGCCGCCGCGGUAAUACGGAGGAUGCGAGCGUUAUUCGGAUUUAUUUGGUUUAAAGGGUGCGGAGGCGGGGGUGCAAGUCAGCGGUCAAAUUGCGGGGCUCAACCCCGUACUGCCGUUGAAACUGCAGCCCUUGAGUGCGCGAGAAGUAUGCGGAAUGCGUGGUGUAGCGGUGAAAUGCAUAGAUAUCACGCAGAACUCCGAUUGCGAAGGCAGCAUACCGGCGCGCAACUGACGCUGAUGCACGAAAGCGUGGGUAUCGAACAGGAUUAGAUACCCGAGUAGUC